UCCUACGGGGCGCAGCAGUGGGGGAUAUUGCACAAUGGGGGAAACUCUGAUGCAGCGACGCCGCGCGAGGGAAGACGUACUUCGGAUUGUAAACCUCUAUCUUUGGGGAAGAAAAUGACGGUACCCAACUAAGAAGCUCCGGCUAACUACGUGCCAGCAGCCGCGGUAAUACGUAGGGGGCGAGCGUUAUCCGGAUUUACUGGGUGUAAAGGGAGCGUAGACGGUCCAGCAAGUUAGAUGUUAAAUC
rnacentral:rRNA from 1 species